UCAGAACAAAUCUUUAUCUUUAUAAACAGGCGUGAACAAAAGUUUGCAUCCACCCGUAUGUCAUGUCAGUCUUUACUUUCCAAUGACGCCUGUAAAUAACCUAGUACAUUUCUUUAUUUGCUGAAGAUAGCUGCUGUAUUUUAUUUUGGCGUUUUACCUUUAUUUACAAUGAGUAAAAUGUGACUUCCGGUUGACGCUUUUAUUGUUGAAAAGAUUACUUCCUGUUGCAACUGAGCGCGAAUUAGCUUAUCGGCAAUAUAAAGACGGAGAAGGAUAAGGACACGGAGAGAAAUCAGUACAUAAAUAUGUAUUUUGGACUUAGCAGCCACUUUGAAAGAGGCACAAGUGUUUUUCUCAUGUCAACUGAUUGGUUCCUCUCUCAGAUAACGAGGCUGCAACACACCUGAACAACUGGACCUGGAUCAACACCAAACACCCACAAGUGUUUUCGCUGGAUCACUAAAGAAAAUAAAGGCUUAAAGUGCAGAUUCAUAUCUCUGAAGAAGAGGCAGCUGGACUGAGCUGUGGGACUCUGCUGCCCCCCACUGGUGAAACUGGAGGUCUACACCCACCUGGAUCUCGUUUACCUGCACAGAUCACCUGGGGGAAAAUCCAACAUGGCGUCUGCAGCCUCAGCCCCUGAUUGGCUGUUCCACCUCACCUCGUUCUGCAGCAGAGACACCCUCCUCAGGUGUCUGUCCAGCUGCCUCAGCUCUCCGGGACACUUCCUGUUCAGCUCUUCCUGGAUCUGAAGUUCCAGCCUCUGAUUGGCUGCUUCCAGAAGCUGCACCUGCAUCCACCAAACAGAGACGAUCCUCAGCACAGAACUCACAGAUCAGCUGUUUUAACGUCCUCUGGCUCUUUAACCGACAAGUAUUAACCAGUUAAACACUGUUAGUCAAUGCAGAACGCAGACUGGGUUGUAAAUUGGUUCUAAACUGGUUUUAUACUAGUUACAUAUUGGUUUUGAAACAGUUUUGUACUGUUUUUUUUUUUUUUUUACUGGUUUCAUACUGGUUUUGGACAGCAUCAUAGUUUUUUUUAAACUGUUUUUGUACUGGUUUCAUUUCUAGCUUUUAGCCUGGAGCCAUACUAAUUUUCCAAUCGACUUUAGACUGGUUUUAGAUUGGUUUUAGAUUGUUUGGGACUGGUUUGGAACUGGUUCUGUACUGGCCUUGCACUGGUUUGGAACUGGUUCUGUAUGGGUUUUGGAAUGGUUUUAGAUCAGUUAUGGACCAGUUUUGCAUUGGUUUUAGGCUGGUUUUAUGCUGGUUUUGUACUGGUUUCAUAUAGUUUGAACUGGUUUUUAUUGGUUUCAUAUAAUUUGAACUGGUUUGUACUGGUUUCAUAUAAUUUGAACUGCUUUGUACUGGUUUCAUUUAAGUUUUGAACUGUUCACAUUUUAGUUUGAUACUGAUUUGAACUGGUUUUAUACUGGUUUUGGAAUGGUUUUGGACCAAUUUUGCAUUGGUUUUGGACUGGUUUUAUGCUUUUUUCCCCCUGGUUCCAUACUGUUUUGAACUGGUUUGUAUUGGUAUCAUAAUUCUGAACUGAUUUUGAAUUGUUUAGUUUAUGUUUGAAGAGGUCACAUUUUGGUUUUGAACUGGUUUGAUAAUGGGUUUGAACUGGUUUUGUACUGGUUUUGAACUGCUUUGAAUGUACAAGACGCCUCCCUGAUGCUGUUGCUAAUCUGAACAUGUAAAGUUCCUGAAUGUCAUCAUAAUUGUGUUUUUCUGUGCUGCUGUUGGAUACUUCAGUUAGACGAGUGAAACCAUUUUUAGAUGUAUUUUUCUCAAACAUAAAAAAAAAAUCAAAA